rnacentral:rRNA from 1 species
UACGUAGGAGGCAAGCGUUGUCCGGAAUUACUGGGCGUAAAACGCGUGUAGGUGGUGGGACAAGUCUGCUGUGAAAGCGCCUGGCUUAACCGGGCGAGGUCGGCGGAAACUGUCCGACUCGAGGACGGUAGAGGGGGGUGGAAUUCCCGGUGUAGUGGUGAAAUGCGUAGAGAUCGGGAGGAACACCUGUGGCGAAGGCGGCCCCCUGGGCCGGCCCUGACACUGAGACGCGAAGGCGUGGGGAGCGAACGGG